rnacentral:misc_RNA from 1 species
GAUGAGAACGUAGCGAAACGCGAUAGUUAAUGUGAAUUGCAGAAUUCAGUGAAUCAUCGAGUCUUUGAACGCACAUUGCGCCCCCUGGUAUUCCGGGGGGCAUGCCUGUCCGAGCGUCAUUGCUGCCCAUCAAGCGCGGCUUGUGUGUUGGGCCGCCGUCCGCCUUCCCCCCCGGGGGGAGGGGGACGGGCCCGAAAGGCAGCGGCGGCACCGCGUCCGGUCCUCGAGCGUAUGGGGCUCUGUCACCCGCUCUGGAGGCCCGGCCGGCGCCCGCCGACCCCCAACCUUCUUCUAACCAGGUUGACCUCGGAUCAGGUAGGGAUACCCGCUGAACUUAAGCAUAUCAAUAAGCGGAGGA